AUAACUCAGUGGUAGAGCAUGUGCUUCACGUGCAUGAGGUCCUGGGUUCAAUCCCCAGU
rfam:Camelus ferus unplaced genomic scaffold scaffold1378, whole genome shotgun sequence.